ACCUUUGAACUUAUCCUGCAUUGCCUGCUUGCAAAUUCCAGUGCAAGUAUCUUCACUGCAUGGCACAUCUGCAUCAUCUGCAAUGUCCACUAACACGCGAUGGUGAUCAGGAUUAAAGGUAGCGGCGGCAUCGACACCCUCCCACGUCGAGAGUGUCAACGACAACAAGCCAAAAGCAAGACUAAUGAUCAAAGCCAAUGAAGCUCUUCUUUCUUCCAUUGCAAACAAAAACAAGGACCAGAUAUUGCAGAGGGGUUUCGCAUAGUGGUGGAAUGCAAGAUGCCUGAGUGCUUCCAAAUUUGUUAUAAUGCAUAUAAGAACAAACUCAUUGAAGCAAUGUGCAGGCCUACAACUUGGGGAAACCUUUGCGUUUGCUACCAUAAUCCUUAAUAUAUUAUACCAUUGGUUUCUGUUUCAUUAUCAACAACUAGCUUUGUAAUUCCAUUAAAUAAAAGGAAUAAAGAUUGUUAUGUCUGAUUAGCUACUGAUAAAUAAAAGAUUGUUAAUGGAGAGGGGGAAAGAUGAAGUUGCAGAAGAAUCCAAGCUCGAAACAUUCACUUAGAAAAAAACACCAAAAAACACCCAAAGAGAAGAGACCCCAUUAUGUAUACAUUCUGACACCGCACUUUAUUCCUUACAGCACUCUACACGAUAAUUUUUAUCA